rnacentral:rRNA from 1 species
UUUUGCGGCGCGAUUCGCCUUAGAGUUUGAUCCUGGCUCAGAAUCAACGCUGGCGGCGCGCUUAACACAUGCAAGUCGAACGAGAAAGUGGAGCAAUCCAUGAGUACAGUGGCGCACUGGUGAGUAACACGUGGGUAUCCACCUCUUUGUGGGGAAUAACAUUGGGAAACCGAUGCUAAUACCGCAUACGUCCGAGAGGAGAAAGCCGAAAGGCGCAGAGAGAGGAGCCCGCGCCCGAUUAGCUAGUUGGUAAGGUAAUGGCUUACCAAGGCGACGAUCGGUAGCCGGCCUGAGAGGGCACACGGCCACACUGGCACUGAAACACGGGCCAGACUCCUACGGGAGGCAGCAGUGGGGAAUCUUGCACAAUGGGGGAAACCCUGAUGCAGCGACGCCGCGUGAGUGAUGAAGCCCUUCGGGGUGUAAAGCUCUUUCGACAGGAACGAUAAUGACGGUACCUGAAGAAGAAGCUGCGGCUAACUACGUGCCAGCAGCCGCGGUAAUACGUAGGCAGCAAGCGUUGUUCGGAAUUACUGGGCGUAAAGAGUGCGUAGGUGGUUGGCUAAGUUUGGUGUGAAAUCUCCCGGCUCAACUGGGAGGGUGCGCCGAAAACUGGCUGGCUAGAGUGUGGGAGAGGGACGUGGAAUUCCUGGUGUAGCGGUGAAAUGCGUAGAUAUCAGGAGGAACACCUGCGGUGUAGACGGCGUCCUGGACCAUUACUGACACUGAGGCACGAAAGCGUGGGGAGCAAACAGGAUUAGAUACCCUGGUAGUCCAAGGUCGAAUCGUUAGGGCUGCU